rnacentral:lncRNA from 1 species
CUUGCUUUCUUGCCCGUUGCUGCUGCUGCACUUGCCCCGGUCUCUUUAAAUAGCCUAAGCGCUGCCCUUGCCUCCACAUGCCGGGGCUAAAAGCCGCCACGUGGAGGCACUGUCCCUGUCUCAGUUUCCUGCAUAGGGCCUCGAAGUAAUUGCCAUAUAUGUACAACUUACUCACAAGGCGACGACACCCGUGACCACCCCAUGAGCAUCACAGUCACCCCAUCUCUACCCUGCAUGUC